GACGAACGCUGGCGGCGUGCCUAACACAUGCAAGUCAACUUGACUGAAGGAGCAAUCUGACAGUAGAGUGGCGCAAGGGUGCGUAACGCGUAAGUAACUUGCCCAAGGUAAGGAAUAACGUCGAGAAAUCGGCGCUAAUACCUCAUAAUGCAGCGGAUCCGCAUGGAUAUGUUGUUAAAGGUUUACCGCCUUGGGAUAGGCUUGCGUCUGAUUAGCUAGUUGGUGUGGUAACGGCACACCAAGGCUACGAUCAGUAACUGGUCUGAGAGGAUGAUCAGUCACACUGGAACUGAGACACGGUCCAGACUCCUACGGGAGGCAGCAGUGAGGAAUAUUGGGCAAUGCUCGAAAGAGUGACCCAGCAACGCCGCGUGGGGGAUGAAGGUAUUCUAUAUCGUAAACUCCUGUGAGAGCAGACGAAAGACAGAUUAUUAAUCUGGAUGACUGUAUGCUCAGAGGAAGCCCCGG
rnacentral:rRNA from 1 species